AUGGUGGUCGUGGAUAGACUAACCAAAUCAGCGCACUUCAUCCCCCUUCACCACCCCUUCAAAGCUCCACAAGUGGCCAAGGUCUUCUGGGAUCAGGUCGUCAAGCUCCACGGCAUCCCGAGCUCCAUCGUCUCCGACCGCGAUUGCGUCUUCACCAGUGCACUCUGGCGCAAACUCUUCGCCAACGCGGGCACCAAGCUGCUCUACUCCACGACGUAUCACCCCCAGAUGGAUGGCCAAAGCGAACGCGUCAACCAGUGCAUGGAAAUCAGAAUUCUGGUACAACUCGUCUUUCCAUUCCCCGAUCAAAUGCUCCCCCUUAAAGCUCUAUACGGAGUGGAGCCCAACCUGGGCGCCAUGGCACUCUGGGAUGACAAGACGGUGCCCAUGAUCAACGGCAAGCCCUGGGACUGGGGUGUGCACAUGACGCGGCUGCGCGAGCACAUUCUCCGUGCCCAUCAUCGAUUCAAGAAGCAGGUCGAUCAGCACCGCACCGAGCGCUCCUUCAAAUUGGGCGACGCUAUUCUCCUCAAGCUCCAACCCUAUGCGCAGUCGUCGGUGGCGAACAGACCCUGCGCCAAGCUGGCGUACAAGUAUUUUGGGCCAUUCACGGUGAUCGACAAGAUCAGCAAGCUGGCGUACAAAUUGGAGUUGCCGGCGGACAACAAGAUCCACCCCGUCUUCCACGUGUCACAGCUCAAGCCGUUCACCCCCAACUAUACACCGAUCUUCUCUGAGCUGCCCCAACCGCCAGACCUCACCGGCCACGACAACAAACCGUCGGAGAUCCUGGAGCGAUGCAUGAUCAAGCGCGGCAACAGCGCCCUGGUGCAGGUCAAGGUGCGCUGGCCCAACGACGAGACGGCGAUGACUUGGGAGGACCAUGACACCCUUCGCCGCCGAUUUCUACAAGGACCGGCGUGGGACACACCAUCGAUCGGCGACGAUGAGCAGCAAGCAGCUCCUGAAGACGAUGCCUGUUCUGAAGGAGUGGGGAAUGCCACACCGGCAUCACCAGGAGAUGAUGCGGUGGACGCAAGUCAGCGUUGGUCGUGGGAUCUGUUUCCCCUUUCCCCUCUCCCUCUCCCUGCCCCGCCCCUGCGGCCGUCCGGGGAGAACCCUAGCACGUGCCGCUGGUUUCCACGCUCCCAUUUCCUCCUCCUCCUCCGCCACCGUCGGCGCACACUGACGGGCAAAGCCCGUUUGGCGUGGUCCUUCCACCCAGGGCUGGUUGUUCCUUGUGCAUGCUCCGACGCCCUGGCCCCUUGGAGUCGGAUUUUUGAGCUCUGGGUCACCUCUGGUCAUGCCAAGGCAGGAUCUUGUGGGCUAGAUGGGUCGCGUCCUCAUGUUAUUGUGACGGUUGACGGAUCAUGGCAUCUUCGGGAGGGACCGUUAUGCUGUCGGACAGAUCGGCGCCAUUAG
rnacentral:rRNA from 1 species